GGAGAGGUGGCCGAGUGGUCGAAGGCGCACGCCUGGAAAGCGUGUAUACCGGCAACGGUAUCGCGGGUUCGAAUCCCGCUCUCUCCGCCA
rnacentral:tRNA from 3 species